GUGCCCCCGUAGUGCUGCCGCCCCCCUGGGCUAAUUGCGAAGGCAACGUUUAUUAAUUAGUGGACGAAAUCUGCAGUCGGCUCGCUGCGUGUGACACGGGGCAGGCUUUUUCCCCAUGGGGUGCCCCGUGCCCUCGUUCCCCCCAGGGGUACCCCAAUUCCCCCAUCACCCCGUACCUCCAUCACCCUGUACCCCCACUCCCCAGGACUGCCCCAUUCCCCCAUCACCCCAUAUUCCCCUCACCUCAUACCCCCAUUCCCCUAUCACCCCAUUCCUCCAUCACCCAGUACCCACAUACCCUCAUCAUCCCAUAUCCCCUUUCCCCCAUCACCCCACAUCCCUGCACCCCCAUCAACUUAUUCCCCCAAUUACCCCAUAACUCCAUCACCCAAUCACUCCAUUCCUCCAAUCCCCCAAAUCCCCCAUUCCCUCAUCAUCCCUUUCCCUCAUCACCCAUUCCCCCAUACCUUCAUUCCCCCCGUUCCUCCCGUCAUCCCAUUGCUGCAUUCUCCUGAUCACCCCACAUCCCUGUACCCCAUCACCUCAUUCCCCCAAUUCCCCCAUCCCCCGUUUCCCCCAUCCUCCCAAUUCCCCCAUUCCCCCAUCACCCCAUACCCCCAAUUCCCCCGUGCCCCAUAUACCCCAUACACCCCAUACACCCCAUACCCCAUACACCCCAUAUACCCUGUACCCCAUAUACCCCGUACUCCAUAUACCCAAUAUACCCUGUAUGCCAUACACCCCAUACACCCCAUAUGCCCUAUACCCCAUACACCCCAUAACCCAUACCCCAUAUACCCCAUACACCCUAUGCACCCCAUACCCCAUACACCCCAUAUACACCGUACCCCAUAUACCUCAUAUACCCCGUACUCCAUAUACCCCAUAUACCCUGUACCCCAUACCCCAUAUACCCCAUACACCCCAUAUACCCUAUACCCCAGACCCCAUAUACCCCAUAACUCAUGCCCUAUAUACCCCAUAUACCCCAUACCCCAUAUACCCCAUAACCCAUACCCUAUACCCCCCAUACACCCCAUAUACCCUAUACCCCAUGCCCCAUAUACCCCAUAACCCAUACCCCAUAACCCAUACCCCACACACCCCACACACCCCACACACCCC
rnacentral:lncRNA from 1 species